GCGACCGUGGUGUAUCCUGGUUAGCAUUGGAGACUGUGGAUCUCCAGGACCGAGUUCAAAUCUCGGCGGUCGCCCCA
rnacentral:tRNA from 1 species